rnacentral:tmRNA from 1 species
GGGGUCGACUGGAUUUGACAGCGGUUCGAGGUGAUUUGUAAGCACGCAGUGCGGAUGUUAGCGGGCACUCAAAUCUCGGCUAUCAACAAUUUAUCUGGCGAAAACAACUUUGCUCUCGCUGCCUAAUCGAAGUACAGUAGAUUGGCUUUAUUCCUGCUCUAGGAGCGGGAACGAGACAUCACCCAAGAGCACUCUCUCCUUUGCGUCUUGAACCGGUGGUGCAGUAAAUAGGAGAUAGGACUUCGGAGCCUCGUUCGUUGUCCGAAAAUUUAGAGGAUAAGGCGCAGUCACGACCGCUUUCGUCUCAAACUGCGCACGAAAAUUCGAUAGAAAGCUAAGCGUGUAGAAAGCAGGUUGACUCUCCGUUUGGACGAGGGUUCAAUCCCCUCCGGCUCCACCA